ensembl:lncRNA
CUGAAUAGUUACGAAACAAAGUGAGUAAUAUAUGAUGGAAAAAAAAAACGAAAACAAAAUAAAAAAUAAAAAUAAAAGAAAGGCAAUAGAACUUAAUGAAUUAAAAAGAUCUGAAACGAAAAAUGUACCAAUAAAAACGAAAGUAAAAGUAAAAAGUAAAAAUAAUAAAACGUUCAGUGGAAAGGACUCAUUCUAUUUAAAUAAUAAUAUACUGAAUAAAAAAAAAAAUAAUGAUAAGGAUGUUAAAAAUGAAUCAGGGUAUAAUAAAAAAAUCCAAAAAAAUACAACUUCAAGAGAAGAUAGCAAAAGUUUAGGUAUGAUAGCAAAUGGGAAUAAACGUAUUAAGUUUCACGUAGAAAAAGAAAAAAUGGAAAGAGAUAACUCAGAAGAAAAGGAAACCGCUGAUAAAGAUAGGUUAAGCAGAGAUGAAGACAGUUUGAGCACUAAUGAAGGUAUGUUGAGUAAUGACGAAUACAGCUCAAGCAAUGAUGAAGGAAGUCCGAGAAAUGGUGAAGGAAGUCCGAGAAAUGGUGAAGGAGGUCCGAGAAAUGGUGAAGGAAGCCCGAGUAGUGAUGAAGAAAGAUCGAGUAGUGAUGAAGACAGCUCGAGCAGUGAUGAAGAUCAUGAUGGUUUACUAUUAACAUCUAAGUUUGAAAAAAAAUAUACUGAUUUGUUACUUAAAUUAAAAAACAAGGAUUCUAAUUUGUUAAAAAUAAAAGAUGGUAAUUUUUUUCAUGAUAGCGAUUUUGAAACAGAUGCAUCAGAUGAUAACAGUGACUCAAAUGGUAGUAAAAAUGAUUCAAAAGAAAAAGGAAGUAAUAAGAGCGUGGAUGCAAAACAAGAAAGCAAAGAUAGUGAUAAAUUUUUGAACUAUUCAGAAUACUACAGUGAAAUAUUAUUAAAAGAAGGACCCAACGCAAUUGAAAAGGAAGAAGAAGAAAUACUUAAAAAAGAAAAAGAAUUAAAAAAAGAAAAAAAGAAAAAGAGUUAUUUAAAUGAGCAAGAGGAAUUAAAAAAAAAAAUCCUUGAUGCUUGUAACAAUGUACUAAAUGAACAAACUUGUAUUAAAAGUAGUAAUAACAAUGGAAUCGGUAAAGAUAGCAACAACGAUAACAAUGAUGAUGAGGAGGAUGACUUUUUUACAAUAAAAAAAAAUACUGAAGAAGAGUUACUUGAAGAAAAAAAAAACUAUGAAUUAUUUUUAAACAAAUCCAACAAAUUUGUAGAAAGAAAUAAUUUAUUAAAAGAGUAUUGGAAAGACAAUUUAAAUAAAGAUGAAGAGUUUUUAAGAGACUAUAUGUUAAACGAAUUAUGGAGAGAGGAUAAAGUCCAUAACUUUUCUGAAAAUAUAAAUGAAAUCACUGAAGAUAAUUUAGAAAAGGAAGAAAAGUCUGAAAAGAUUUAUAAUUUUCGUCAUGAGGAGGAUAAUGGUAGAGUGAUUAAUACAGCUCCUCGUAAAAUAAAUAGUAGUGUAAGAAUAGAUAAAAAACAUAUUCAAAGGAAAAGAGAACAUGAAGAAAAAAAGAGAAAGUUAAAAAUUGAAAAGAAGAAAAAGCUUUUAGAAGAUGUAAUAAAUUGUAAAACAGAAUCUAUGGCUACUCAUAGUUUAACUAAGAAUAAUAGUGAUAUGUCAUAUAAUAUAAAAAAAAAUUAUAGUAGUACUAAUGUGAAUGACAAUAUUACUAACAAUACUACUACUAAUAGUAAUAAUAAUAACAAUGCAAACAACUCAGAGGAAGAAAAAAAAGAAAUUGGCACUUUAAAAAAAAAUAUUACCUCUCCUAAAGAUAAAAAAACAAAAAACAAAAUAAAAAAUCAAUUAAAAAAAGUAUACAAUGUUAUUUUGAACCCUUCAGAUUAUAUAGGAACAGAUUUAUGGUUUUUAUGUGAUGAAUGCCAACGCCCUAUUAAUCCUUUAAAUUAUGUAUACGAAUGUACGGUCUGUACAGAUUUUACGUUAUGUAAAAAAUGUUUUAAUAAAGUAGAUCAUAAUAAUGAUCAUACUUUUAAAAAAUUCUUACUCCCAAGAAAUUGUGUACCUCCAAAGAGUUAUGACAAAAGAGGUGAUGUUACACAGAAGGGUGUCGAGUCGAACGGUGAUAGGCCAAGCAGUAUCAACGAAGAUAAUAAUACAAUGGAUGACAAUAACCAAUUUGAAAACGAAUUUUUAGAAUAUGAUUCCAGUGCCUGUGAGGACACAAUUAACGAUAUGCCAAUUAGGUUUAAAUACCUGAAAGUAACACCUAUGACAUUUAAUUUAACAACUGAUUAUAUUUUAAAAGCAGAUGACAAAGAGCUAAAUCGAG